rnacentral:lncRNA from 1 species
GUUUCACUGAGAGCAUCGAAAAAACGAUGAACCACCAUAGACACCGAAUGUUGGACAACCUACGUGGAAAGGUUUCCCAUGAAGCACUUGAUUUGCUGGAAAAAGAGCUACUGAGGAAGAUGGAUGUGUUGCGGAAACUUAACGCAUCAUGUGGUUGCCAUAUGUGGCUUAGCAAAGGAUUGCCGUGUGCUUGUAGACUGGAAAACUACAACCGUACAGGGCGUAUAAUACAACUCGACGAGAUAGAUGUAUUCUGGCGUAAGCUUGACUUGCUCCCUUGUAAACUGGUAGACGAGGAGGUCGAUAUUGUAGCAGAGCUCAAUAAUGUGCGGCAACAUUUAGAGGCGCAGUCCCCCGUUCAGCAAAAGAGUAUGCUUUCAAAGAUAAAAGCGGUUUUCACCCCGAAAUCGUC